CGGUGCAGUGAAAGUGAGAAUGUGACACGUUGUCGGUCGCGUCGCCGGCGCCGGUACCUCCGGGCGCCGUCGUCGAGGCGCGCGCGCGGCGCCUCGAAGCAUCGUUCCCGGGUCGGGUCCGCGCGUUCGCGACCGCAUUUCCGUGCGUCGUCGCGUUCUCGCUCCGACUCAGGUGUAACAGGCGGCCGGGGACCCGAAAGAUGGCGAUCCACGCCCGAUUGGGACGAAGCAAGAGGAAACUCUGGUGGAAUUCCGAAGCGCAUCUGACGUGCAAAUCGAUCGUCGCAACCGGGUGUAGAGGCGAAAGACCAAUCGAGCCGUCUAGUAGCUGGUUUCCUCUGAAGUUUCCCUCAGGAUAGCUGGCGCCAGCGGGAGAACGACACGUAAUUCCGCCCGUUAAAGCGAACGACUGGAGGCCCCGGGGACAUUGAUGGCCUCGAUCUACUCUCGAACUCGGAACACACACACACACUUAUAGAACGUGUUUAUGUGUAGCUCACUUUGUAAACCACGUAAUUUCGGGUUCAAACCCAUUUCGCGUUUCCUUAGGUAAGUACCUUCUACUAUAACCUCAGGCCAACUAAAACCUUGUGAGUGAAUUUGUUAGACGGACGCUGUGGAAGUCUAAUGUGUCAUCUUAAGUGUUAUCUGC
rnacentral:ncRNA from 1 species